rnacentral:rRNA from 1 species
CUCGUAGGCGGUUCGUCGCGUCCGGUGUGAAAGUCCAUCGCUUAACGGUGGAUCCGCGCCGGGUACGGGCGGGCUUGAGUGCGGUAUGGGAGACUGGAAUUCCCGGUGUAACGGUGGAAUGUGUAGAUAUCGGGAAGAACACCAAUGGCGAAGGCAGGUCUCUGGGCCGUCACUGACGCUGAGGAGCGAAAGCGUGGGGAGCGAACA